GCCUUCGUGGUGUAAUUGGAAAGCACGUCCGGAUAUUAGUCGAAAGGUCCAGAUUUCGAAUCCUGGCGAGGGCC
rnacentral:tRNA from 1 species